rnacentral:rRNA from 1 species
UACGUAGGUGACAAGCGUUGUCCGGAUUUACUGGGCGUAAAGAGCGCGCAGGCGGUCGUUUCAAGUCGAGUGUGAAAGCCCCCGGCUCAACUGGGGAGGGUCACUCGAUACUGAUCGACUCGAAGGCAGGAGAGGGAAGUGGAAUUCCCGGUGUAGUGGUGAAAUGCGUAGAUAUCGGGAGGAACACCAGUGGCGAAGGCGACUUCCUGGCCUGUUCUUGACGCUGAGGCGCGAAAGCUAGGGGAGCAAACGGG